AUUGAACGCUGGCGGCAUGCCUUACACAUGCAAGUCGAACGGUAACGGGCCUUCGGGUGCCGACGAGUGGCGCACGGGUGAGUAAUACAUCGGAACGUGCCCGAUCGUGGGGGAUAACGAGGCGAAAGCUUUGCUAAUACCGCAUACGAUCUACGGAUGAAAGCAGGGGACCGCAAGGCCUUGCGCGGACGGAGCGGCCGAUGGCAGAUUAGGUAGUUGGUGGGAUAAAAGCUUACCAAGCCGACGAUCUGUAGCUGGUCUGAGAGGAUGAUCAGCCACACUGGGACUGAGACACGGCCCAGACUCCUACGGGAGGCAGCAGUGGGGAAUUUUGGACAAUGGGCGCAAGCCUGAUCCAGCCACGCCGCGUGCAGGAUGAAGGCCUUCGGGUUGUAAACUGCUUUUGUACGGAACGAAAAGCCUUCUUUUAAUACAGGAGGGUCAUGACGGUACCGUAAGAAUAAGCACCGGCUAACUACGUG
rnacentral:rRNA from 1 species